AAAUAUCUCCACUAGGAGUUUCUUCGGUGGAAACUCCGUAUCUCAGUUCUCUCUCCUUCAUCUACCGGCGACAUGGCCGUAGUUCUCGGAAACAUUGCUCUGUUACUUGACGUUACCUCGCCUCUCACCGGAAUUCCUGACCGGAAGGCUCGAACGGCGAGCCACGAAGUCGUUUUGAACCUAUCCAAGAGAGAUUCUCAUCAUAGCACCAACGCCUACGCAUCUCUCGCCACCAAGAGCUUCGAGUCGGACGGAGAAGCUCGAAACCACAGAGUCG
rnacentral:lncRNA from 1 species